GGUCUGAGAGGAUGAUCAGCCACACUGGAACUGAGACACGGUCCAGACUCCUACGGGAGGCAGCAGUGGGGAAUAUUGCACAAUGGGCGAAAGCCUGAUGCAGCCAUGCCGCGUGUGUGAAGAAGGCCUUCGGGUUGUAAAGCACUUUCAGCGAGGAGGAAAGGUUAAGUCUUAAUACGGCUUAGCUGUGACGUUACUCGCAGAAGAAGCACCGGCUAACUUCGUGCCAGCAGCCGCGGUAAUACGAGGGGUGCAAGCGUUAAUCGGAAUUACUGGGCGUAAAGCGUACGCAGGCGGUUUGUUAAGCAAGAUGUGAAAGCCCCGGGCUCAACCUGGGAACUGCAUUUUGAACUG
rnacentral:rRNA from 1 species